rnacentral:rRNA from 1 species
AUUGAACGCUGGCGGCAGGCCUAACACAUGCAAGUCGAGCGGAUGAAGGGAGCUUGCUCCUGGAUUCAGCGGCGGACGGGUGAGUAAUGCCUAGGAAUCUGCCUGGUAGUGGGGGAUAACGUCCGGAAACGGGCGCUAAUACCGCAUACGUCCUGAGGGAGAAAGUGGGGGAUCUUCGGACCUCACGCUAUCAGAUGAGCCUAGGUCGGAUUAGCUAGUUGGUGGGGUAAAGGCCUACCAAGGCGACGAUCCGUAACUGGUCUGAGAGGAUGAUCAGUCACACUGGAACUGAGACACGGUCCAGACUCCUACGGGAGGCAGCAGUGGGGAAUAUUGGACAAUGGGCGAAAGCCUGAUCCAGCAAUGCCGCGUGUGUGAAGAAGGUCUUCGGAUUGUAAAGCACUUUAAGUUGGGAGGAAGAGCAGUAAGUUAAUACCUUGCUGUUUUGACGGUACCAACAGAAUAAGCACCGGCUAACUACGUG